CAUGAAAUAAAUCAUCAUAAUAAAUCACUAUUUCAGAUAUUGAGAAACCACAGAAAGAGAGAAGUUAAAUAAUUUUCCUGUCAAAGACCACAUCAAUGAUGAAGCCAGAAUUUGAGCUCAUGUACUUAACCACUGGACUACCUGCCUGCCCUGUCGAGGAACAGCUAAGGUUGUCAUAGAGUCUUGACUGUGUAUAGAUAGUUGUUUGAAAAAUAUCUGCUGUGUUUAGGUCAUAGUCCAACCAAAGGAUUAAUUAACAUUUGCCUCUUUUUUCUCCUACAUCCAGUGUCCCUUUUGAUGAGAAGAAUAAGCCUCAUUCUGAUUCAACAGCAGAGAUCAAAGAAAAGACUUCUGUUUUCUGGCCACCAGAUAUAUGUUAUCUGUGCUUAAAGAAUUGAAAAACACACAUCAAAGGAGAAUUUUCUUGGAAAGAGAGGGUUCAAGCAUCACUGUUAGGUGUGCUGGAAUCCUUUCCCGAGUCAGUACUGCUUUCUAGAAGAAAACCGGGGAGAUCUAUUUGGAAUGUAUCUAACUCCAAAGAAACCAUCAGAGGUAACAGGUAGGAGAUAUGAAACGACCUU
rnacentral:lncRNA from 1 species